rnacentral:rRNA from 1 species
GACGAACCGUGCGAACGUUAUUCGGAAUCACUGGGCUUAAAGCGCGUGUAGGCGGGCCGGCCCGUCCGCUGCUGAAAUCCCCCGGCUCAACCGGGGAACGGGCACGGAGACGACCGGCCUGGAGGGGAGUAGGGGGACCUGGAACUUCCGGUGGAGCGGUGAAAUGCGUUGAGAUCGGAAGGAACGCCCGUGGCGAAAGCGAGGUCCUGGGCUCCUGCUGACGCUGAGACGCGAAAGCCAGGGGAGCAAACGGG